UACGUGGGGUGCGAGCGUUGUCCGGAAUUAUUGGGCGUAAAGGGCUCGUAGGCGGUUUGUCGCGUCGGGAGUGAAAAUCCAGGGCUUAACUCUGGACUGGCUUCCGAUACGGGCAGGCUAGAGGUAUGCAGGGGAGAACGGAAUUCCUGGUGUAGCGGUGAAAUGCGCAGAUAUCAGGAGGAACACCGGUGGCGAAGGCGGUUCUCUGGGCAUUACCUGGCGCUGAGGAGCGAAAGUGUGGGGAGCGAACAGG
rnacentral:rRNA from 1 species